rnacentral:rRNA from 1 species
CCUACGGGUGGCAGCAGUGGGGAAUAUUGGACAAUGGGCGCAAGCCUGACCCAGCAACGCCGCGUGAGGGAAGAAGGCUUUCGGGAUGUAAACCUCUAUUCGCAGGGAAGAAAAAAAUGACAGUCGCUGAGGAAUCAGCCACUGCUAACUACAUGCCAGCAGCCGCGGUACUACGGAGGUGGCAAGAGUUAGCCGGAUUUAGUGGGUGUAAAGGGAGUGUAGGCGGCAGCGCAAGGCAGGAGUGAAAACUCAGGGCUUAACCCUGAGCCUGCUUUUGAAACUGUGUUUCUUGAGUGCUGGAGAGGUAAGCGGAAGUCCUGGUGUAGCGGUGAAAUGCGUAGAUAUAAGGAGGAACACCAGUGGCGAAGGCGGCUUGCUGGACAGUAACUGACGCUGAGGCGCGAAAGCGUGGGGAGCAAACAGGAUUAGAUACCCGUGUAGUC